GUGUCAGCCGCCGCGGUAAUACGUAGGGGGCGAGCGUUGUCCGGAAUUAUUGGGCGUAAAGAGCUCGUAGGCGGCUCAGCAAGUCGGCUGUGAAAUCCCGAGGCUCAACCUCGGAACUGCAGUCGAUACUGCUGUGGCUAGAGUCUGGUAGAGGAGAGUGGAAUUCCCGGUGUAGCGGUGAAAUGCGCAGAUAUCGGGAGGAACACCAGUAGCGAAGGCGGCUCUCUGGGCCAGUACUGACGCUGAGGAGCGAAAGCGUGGGGAGCAAACAGGAUUAGAUACCCUGGUAGUCCACGCCGUAAACGUUGGGUACUAGGUGUGGCGUCUCGAUCAACGGAUGCCGUGCCGAAGCUAACGCAUUAAGUACCCCGCCUGGGGAGUACGGCCGUAAGGCUAAA
rnacentral:rRNA from 1 species